rnacentral:rRNA from 1 species
GACGAACGCUGGCGGCAUGCUUAACACAUGCAAGUCGAACGGAAAGGCCCUGCUUUUGUGGGGUGCUCGAGUGGCGAACGGGUGAGUAACACGUGAGUAACCUGCCCUUGACUUUGGGAUAACUUCAGGAAACUGGGGCUAAUACCGGAUAGGAGCUCCUGCUGCAUGGUGGGGGUUGGAAAGUUUCGGCGGUUGGGGAUGGACUCGCGGCUUAUCAGCUGGUUGGUGGGGUAGUGGCUUACCAAGGCUUGGACGGGUAGCCGGCCUGAGAGGGUGACCGGCCAAAUUGGGACUGAGAUACGGCCCAGCCUCCUACGGGAGGCAGCAGUGGGGAAUAUUGCACAAUGGGCGGAAGCCUGAUGCAGCAACGCCGCGUGCGGGAUGACGGCCUUCGGGUUGUAAACCGCUUUCGCCUGUGACGAAGCGUGAGUGACGGUAAUGGGUAAAGAAGCACCGGCUAACUACGUG